GCCCGUUUGGCGCAAUGGUAGCGCGUCGCCCUCCUAUUUCGGAUGUUCAGGCGAAGGCUGCGGGUUCGAUCCCCGUGAUGGGUG